rnacentral:rRNA from 1 species
GACGUAGGUGGCGAACGUUAUCCGGAAUCAUUGGGCGUAAAGGGUGCGUAGAUGGCAUGAUAAGUUAUUAGUGGGAAAUCGAGGCUCAACCUCGUGGAAGCUAGUAAUACUGUUUUGCUUGAGUACAGAAGAGGUUAACGGAACUCCAUGUGGAGCGGUAAAAUGCGUAGACAUAUGGAAGAACACCAAUAACGGCGAAGGCAGUUAACUAGUCUGUUACUGACAUUGAGGCACGAAAGCGUGGGGAGCAAAACGG